UAGAGUUUGAUCCUGGCUCAGAAUGAACGCUGGCGGCAGGCUUAACACAUGCAAGUCGAACGGUAGCAGGAAGAAAGCUUGCUUUCUUUGCUGACGAGUGGCGGACGGGUGAGUAACGCGUGGGAAUCUACCCUAUGAUUGGGGACAACAUGUGGAAACGCAUGCUAAUACCGAAUGUGGUCUACGGACUAAAGGGGGCCUCUAUUUAUAAGCUCCCGUCAUAGGAUGAGCCCGCGUAAGAUUAGCUAGUUGGUAGGGUAAAGGCCUACCAAGGCGACGAUCUUUAGCUGGUUUGAGAGGAUGAUCAGCCACACUGGGACUGAGACACGGCCCAGACUCCUACGGGAGGCAGCAGUGGGGAAUAUUGGACAAUGGGGGAAACCCUGAUCCAGCCAUGCCGCGUGUGUGAAGAAGGCCCGAGGGUUGUAAAGCACUUUCAGUUGGGAAGAAGGGUAAUAAGCUAAUACCUUAUUAUCUUGACAUUACCUUCAGAAGAAGCACCGGCUAACUCUGUGCCAGCAGCCGCGGUAAUAAUCGAAU
rnacentral:rRNA from 1 species